rnacentral:piRNA from 1 species
CCUGGUGGUUUUCUGUUAUUGGGAA